UACGUAGGGGGCUAGCGUUGUCCGGAAUCAUUGGGCGUAAAGAGCGCGUAGGCGGUCCGGUAAGUCGGCUGUGAAAGUCAAGGGCUCAACCCUUGAAAGCCGGCCGAUACUGUCGGACUAGAGUCCGGAAGAGGCGAGUGGAAUUCCCGGUGUAGCGGUGAAAUGCGUAGAUAUCGAGAGGAACACCUGAGGUGAAGACGGGUUGCUGGGCCGACACUGACGCUGACAGCGCGAAAGCCAGGGGAGCAAACGGG
rnacentral:rRNA from 1 species